UCUCCAGUAGAGAUAACAUACAGUUGUGCAAGCAUUUUCAUAAAAAAUGUUGGAUUUCGUAUCCAUAGACUCCAAAUACAUGACCCCACCACAUCGUAGCGGCAGUCAAAGGUCAAACUGCCCUCAGUUUGGAGGAGAAUGCUCAUCCUCCGAUUUUCUUCCUCCGAUUUUCUAUCUCCUUCGUUAUUCUGUCACGCAUCCAAACGGCGGUCGACUGUUUUACCAAACCUAAACGUCGAGGAAAAAAUGAACGUGUUUGCAUCUUGACUGUAUCGAUCUCUCUCACCUCCACAGUAAUAUAAAAACAAUUUCUUCCCUAGCCUGCAGCUCCCAACAAAAAUGACGAUGAUGAUUGGGUGAAUUCGUUGAUAAUUUCAAAACAGGAUCUUAUUCGUCAAAUACACCCAAUCCAAUUACAACAAUAUUCCAAAUCUCCAAACCCUAGUUAACAAAGCUUCGAUCCUUUGGAGGCUUAUCAAAUUACUCUUCGGUGAUGAUGAAGAAGAAGGAAGAUUUACGACAAUCUGAUCGAAGGAAGGAUUUCUCUUCUUCAUUUGGUGAUUAUAAUAGAGCAAGAGCUUAAAGAUACUAUUGUUAAUUUGUAAACUCAGUCUGAUCAGAUCAAGACGGAGGAGAAUUUGAAGGUGGAUGAAAUUUGAUAAUCAAAAUGGGGGUUUUAGACACGAUGAUGAUGGUUAGGAAUUUAUAGAUGCUUCUGUUUAUAACAGACCUGAAUAUGGGGUUUCUUCUCUAAAUUACUCUCGCCUCCAUUGAACAAGUGUUUUUUCUCUGUUAAACCAAGACUCUCAGAAAACAAUGGCUAUAGAAUCACCGAAUCAUCAUGCAAAGAUUGAUUGUGAAGGCCUAUCUUUUCCUCCCAGGGCAUCAAUUGCCAGCCAUCCCUUUGAAACAGAUUGUAGCACCUUGAAACAAUCCAGUGUAACUCAUGAGAUUGUACACUACAGCGGCAUAAUAUUUAUUGAAAGAUGAAAGGACUUAUGGUGGUUUUCACUUGGCCUGACAACUUGUCAGAUUUUGAUAUUUACAUAUUCAUGGUCAGUUUUGUGGUGAAAAGUGAAGUAAGGAGUAAAAUAGUAGGAAACAAUGGCUUCAGGAGAGCUGAGCCACAUUGAGGAGCUACUAUAGGGUGAAGGUCGAAACUCGGAAAUGGGUGCAUCAGUGGUUGCAGGACUGCCAGUAUUCAAUACAUGCAAAGAUUUUUAAUUAAUAAAUUGUUACUUUGUUCGACAAAAUAGCUACUAGCUAGGCAUACCAACUGAACAAGUUAUUGUUGCUGCUGGUGAUGAAGAUGAUGGGUAAACACAAGAACCAAUACCUGUUACAUAUGCUUGAAAAUAAUUAUGCCCAUUGCUCUACUUUUUUACAUUAUCGUUACUAUACAAUAACGAUAUUUUUAUAUCCAUUGCUCUACUUUUUUACAUUGUCGUUACUAUACAAUAACGAUAUUUUUAUAUCAAAAUAAAUAUCGUUUCAUUAUCCAUGACGAUAAUGGAUAUUUUUACAUUA